GGAAGAUGGUGGCUGAACCAGCUUGGGAGCUGUGGGAUGGGAAGAAGUGGACAGCAGGGGCUGUUCCGGGGCAUACCUGCUAAGGGUGCGGAGGGUUGUGGCUCUGACAGCUGUGGAGCCGGUGGGACCAGGGCACACAGCCCCAGGCAUGAGGGGCAGGCAGAGAGGGCUCUGUGGCCAUGUAGGGGCAUUUCUGGCUGGCGGGGAGGUCUGUGGCUACCACUGGGACAAAAGAGAAGCCAGCCCGGAGGUCAGCCCACUGCUGCUCAUCCCCGGCCCACAGGCAGAAGCUUCAUGAGGCAGAUCUGGAGUUGCAGAGGAAGCGGGAGUACAUUGAGGAGCUGGAGCCACCCACUGACAGCAGCACAGCCCGGCGGAUCGAGGAGCUGCAGCAUAACUUGCAGAAGAAGGACGCGGACUUGCGGGCCAUGGAGGAGCGAUACCGCCGCUACGUGGACAAGGCCCGCAUGGUCAUGCAGACCAUGGAACCCAAGCAGCGGCCAGCUGCGGGGGCACCUCCAGAACUCCAUUCCCUGAGGACACAGCUC
rnacentral:lncRNA from 1 species